rnacentral:rRNA from 1 species
AUGGACAAACCAAGCAGUCAAGAGCACUAUAUAAGAAACAAGAGCGAUGCUUCCAACAGUAGGAUGGUGAGAUCAAAGGUGACAGUGGAGCUUCACUUUCUACCCGUUGACGUUCUACGCGACAUAUUGUCACGGUUAUCACUCAAGCAAGCCCUGAGAAUGAGCGCACUAUCCCGCGAAUGGUGGCGACUAGGUUUAUGCCACCCCCCCACCCGGAUCUGGUGUUCACUAAAGACACCUUAUUUGGCAGCAAUAAAAUCAUAUACUAUAUUGAUCGGGAAUCCACGGCUGCCGAGUUCAUCACCAGAGUGGAUAAUGUGUUGCGCCCGUUUUGGUCUAGUUCCACCACGACAACUAGUACAGUGGAUAAGUUCGUUGUCGAAUUUGGUCUCACUAGGCAUCACAUGCAUCACAUCGAUAGAUGGAUUAACUUUUCCACCGAGUCAAUGGCCAAGCACAUUGGUCUUGAUCUCAUUGGAUUGA